AUCAGCUGCCUCCUGCACACCCACACUGGGGAUGCGCCUGCAACCAAGAUUAUAAAAUACAGGACUAGUAAAUGAGAUGGGACUGGAAUCCAAGGCUCUGACCAGCUGAGCUCUUUCUGCUGUUACAAUCUCUCUCCAAACUUGCACAGAGCAAGAAAAAAGUCCUGACACUUCAUCCUUCAGUCCACCAAACAUGACAAGCAGAUGCUUUAAAAUUUGUACUUAUUGAUAUGAGUGAAUAAGCUUUUGAUAUUUUAUACACUUUAAA